rnacentral:rRNA from 1 species
AAUACAGAGGGUGCAAGCGUUGUUCGGAAUUAUUGGGCGUAAAGCGCGUGUAGGCGGUCUCGCAAGUCGGGUGUGAAAGCCCUCAGCUCAACUGAGGAAGUGCGCCCGAAACUGCGGGGCUUGAGUACCGGAGAGGAUGGCGGAAUUCCCCAAGUAGAGGUGAAAUUCGUAGAUAUGGGGAGGAACACCGGUGGCGAAGGCGGCCAUCUGGACGGAUACUGACGCUGAGACGCGAAAGCGUGGGUAGCAAACAG